UAAAUCUGAAUUUCAGAUGGACCACAAAUGCUAUUUUCUGUGUAAGUAUGCCCCAUGUAAUAUUUGGGAUAUACUUAUGAUAAAAAGUUAUCCAUUAUUUAUCUAAAGUUCAAAUUUAACUGGGUUUCCU
rnacentral:miRNA from 1 species